rnacentral:rRNA from 1 species
CACUCCUACGGGAGGCAGCAGUGGGGAAUAUUGCACAAUGGGCGCAAGCCUGAUGCAGCGACGCCGCGUGGGGGAUGAAGGCCUUCGGGUUGUAAACUCCUUUCGCUAGGGACGAAGCUUUUUUGUGACGGUACCUAGAUAAGAAGCACCGGCUAACUACGUGCCAGCAGCCGCGGUAAUACGUAGGGUGCGAGCGUUGUCCGGAAUUACUGGGCGUAAAGGGCUCGUAGGUGGUUUGUCGCGUCGUCUGUGAAAUUCUGGGGCUUAACUCCGGGCGUGCAGGCGAUACGGGCAUAACUUGAGUGCUGUAGGGGUAACUGGAAUUCCUGGUGUAGCGGUGAAAUGCGCAGAUAUCAGGAGGAACACCGAUGGCGAAGGCAGGUGACUGGGCAGUUACUGACGCUGAGGAGCGAAAGCAUGGGUAGCGAACAGGAUUAGAAACCCCAGUAGUCCC